UACGUAGGGUGCGAGCGUUAAUCGGAAUUACUGGGCGUAAAGUGUGCGCAGGCGGCGCCGCAAGUCGAGUGUGAAAUCCCCGAGCUUAACUUGGGAAUUGCGCUCGAAACUACGACGCUGGAGUAUGGCAGAGGAAGGUGGAAUUCCACGUGUAGCGGUGAAAAUGCGUAGAGAUGUGGAGGAACACCGAUGGCGAAGGCAGCCUUCUGGGCCAAUACUGACGCUCAGGCACGAAAGCGUGGGGAGCAAACAGG
rnacentral:rRNA from 1 species